rnacentral:sRNA from 1 species
GAACAAGUCAUUCGUACAUGCAUGAUUAACCAAGCAUUCAUUCUGAUAUACAUGUACUGUGAUUUUAACAUUCAUAAAUAUUUUCCAUGGAGGUCGUAUCACCUGUUAUCAUGUUUUGGAAUGAAUCGAACAGCAGCAAAUCAGUGUAUAGCAACGUUUUACUGGUUAAAUAAAGCAACAAAGCAGCCUUGCUAUUCCUUCCAGUGACCCUGUUUAUGGCUUUUCGUAUGGUUAUUGGAGUUGUUGGCAAUGUAAUAGUGUUUAUUGUGUAUUUGAAAAGACAAAGAAAAUCUACAGCCACAUUUUUAAUUUGGCGAUUUUGGACCUUCUCACCUGCACGCUUGGGAUUCCGAUGCCUUGGCUGCUUGUAAAAUAGUAAGAACACUAGAAUCGUGGACGGCCUUAGCUUCUGCAAUAACACUGGUUAUCAUUUCCAUUGAUCGCUACAAACGGAUUUGUAAAUAUGGCGAAAGUUUCAGUACAUCGACAGUAAAAAUUCUUUGCUUGGUUUCGAUGUGCGAUGGAGCUUUUCUUUCCUGGCCUUUAUUGAUAAUUGUUGGAAAGAGGACGGUCGACCUAGGAAUUACCGGACUUAAGGGUGUUGAAUGCGUUGUAUCAGAUCUGAUGCAGCAAUCACUUAUCCCACUUGUUUAUUAGGUCGUUAUAACUCUAUGUUUUGUAGGUAGUCUCGUUUUCGUUAUUUUUGUGUAUGAGAUAAUAUCUUUAUUUUUGAAACAAAAGAAGGCUACAAUCAAUCAAUUCAUUACAAUCAAUCAAUCCCGUGAUUUACAGCUUCCUAAGCAGAAAAUUCAGAGAGGAUGUGAAACGUUUGUUUGUUAACAAUUGUGAUAAAAAUUCCCAAACCAUUCAUCAAACAUUUUCAAGUGAAGAAAAAUCUACAUGAUCCGAAAAUACAUUUUUUUUUACAGCAUUAUGAAUAACUGUUUAUCAAACAUCGUUCUCCAAUUCAAAUUGGUUUUUUUUAUCGGUUAGUCAAAAAAAUGUACAUUACCUAUUGUCAAAUGAAUUUGAACUGUUUUAUUAAAAAUAUAAAAUGCAUAAAAU